AACUUAAAUCAGGAGCUGAGCAUCAUGGCUUUACCACCAAACUGAACUCUUCUGUUUUUAUCGAUAUAAUUGAUGUCUAUCGUGCUUAUGUUUAGGCAGGUGGGUUAGCUGUACACUCAGUCAGUUAAAUCGCUUAUUAGUCUCCACUGGCAGCUCCGAUCUGGUCCCUGGUGGCUGUAAAGUGAGCUCAGGCACCUACACCCAUGGAGACACCUACAAUUAAGCACCAUAACCUGCAGCUGCCUCCUUUCCCCGAUGGCAUUCCAAACGCCUCCUUUGAUGUCACACAGGGAAGGUUGUGGUGGAGAUGGGGAACGCCUCUGGAUCGCCUGACUCCUCAGCUGGCACGUUAGCACCUGUUUGCUCAUGCCCGUGUGCUGAUGACACCAUCUCGCGUCCCCACCUCCUUCAUCUCCAUUUCAGCAUCUCCCCACGCUGCCUCUUGGCUUUGGCUUUGGGGCUGGCGCCAUCGCGGCCAGCUCUUCUCAUGGCAAGGACUCCGAGGUGCUUCAGGGCUACAGGCACAAAAUAACAUCCUCCUGGAAUCGGAGGGCAGUGAUUCGGUGUUGUGAGUCACGUUACUUUCACAAAGCCACGAGGAGAAGGCUCAGCCUGACUCAGACCACAGGAGCAGCUAAAAGCAGCAUGGGGGACCAACUGCAGCAAUCUCUUAGAAAAUGUCGGAACUCCAGAGGGCAUCAAGCAUGGGCUGAUGUCUCUGAAAUGUCAGGGAAGCCCACCAGUGGAAUAAGGAGGUGUCCAUCAGUCUGUAACCCUGUGUGUUACCAGUCUGUAACCCUGGGGUCUCCAGGGUGGUAAGACAAGGGAGCUCUCAGGCACUUCUUGCACUGUGUGUCCAGAGAAGAGGCCACAAGGACGCUGAAAGACCAGCCCAGCUCAGCUAAAUGGCAUGGUGCUGCUAAACCAGUGGUGGCAAGGCACAGCCCAAGGCACCUGGGGUAAGGUGGGAGCAGGACCAGUCUGGUGGCUGGAUGGGAAAAUCUCUGCUUUCAGCAGCCAGAGAGGAUCAGUCCCAGAAGGAGGGCACGGAGCUGUGCUGUUGGGUCUCAGCUCCUUUCCUGGCUCCAGGCUGGCUGGGCUGGUUUGAGAAGUGUGUUAUAAAUCAAGUGAUGGUGCCAAGGGUAGUCCUAGCUGGCAGCCUUAAUAAAUGAAUCCUUAGGAAUCUGUGUGUGCUGUGCCCUGGGGCUUGGCUGCCCUACUCUAAAUUGCAGUGUGUGAAGCAAGCACCCAAUCCAUUCUGGGGGCACUGGUGACUAACCCCUCACCAUCAGAGCUUUGGGGACAGGUGGUCUCAGCAUAGGUGUACAAAAAGCUGCGGGUGGUGGACAAGAAUUCUUCUUGUCCUUGGCUAUGUGUGGUCCUUUGCCAGCAGUGGGCUGGAGCUCAGGGAUGGAAGAACCCACCAGUGGUUUCUGUGGGGUCCAGCACAUGAAGGUGUGCAUGAGAUCACCCUCUAAGCUCCUCAGGCUCUUUCAAUGAGGGAAACAGCCCAAAGUAUGUCAGACAAGAGAACGACUGGCGUUCUGAAGUUGAAGGAGGUUACUGCAGUUACCUAGUCUGGCCUUCAACUGAAUGGGGCCAGAGACUUCACCUCCUCCCCAUGGCUAGAUCUUGGUGUGCCUUUGAGAAGGAUAACCAGGCUUGUCUUAUUUUGAUGGAGACUUCACAAAUUCCCUUAGAUAUCACUUUCGGUGGGUGAUUCCUCUCAAAUGUAGUAUGUUCCCUGUGUCUUUACCUGUUUGGAUGCACUUCUGUGGUAAUUCUCAUCAGAAACUUUUCUCUCUUUCUGAUACUCUUGCCAAAAUCCUUAAUCAGCAUGGCUGGUGGAAAGGUAUCAAUACCAAACAAGUUUGAUGGUGAGCACAAAAUAGCAGCCUUACGUAGUGAUGUGUAUUUAAAUGCACUGUAGAGAUGCAACCCUGUAGCAGGGAUUUGACAUGAAAGCCACAAAAUAUAGGACUUUGGCAGAAGACUUGAAGGAGAAAUUCACGAUCUAAUAUAGGAGGGGGUCGUUUUUCUCCAUCCUCCCAGCAAAAUACGAUUUCAGCCCUAAUUUUCUGGCCAGCUGGAUCUUUGGGAUCUCUGUGGGGACUUCGGACUGUGUUCAGCAGAGGGCAGUGCUUGGUUUGGUCACUACUUGGCUGGCAGUGUCAGCCCUCUUAAACCACUGCCACAGUCUGGGAGCCUUUCUCUGUGCCUGCGCUGUGAGCCUUUGCUGUUUGUUGAAAUCCCUCUGCUGCAGAGUAUCCAAAAAAGCUGUAGAAAGCAGUAGUGGAGGCAGAUCCUCCCUGCCUUGCAGCAGUGCAAUGCAGCAGAGAUGGUUGUGGGUCAGCGAAGUCUUUUGGGGAAAUUUAGCAAACCUCCCUCUUCCCACCCUGUGGCAUUUUACAGAGCUAAAAAGGAUUUCCAAGGAAAAAAAAUAUUUUUCCUUGACCUGGUUUAAAUCUACUGAUUUACUAAUGCUUUUCUAGGAGUUUGGCAUUUUGUUAUCCCCAAGUGUUUAAUUGAAAUAAAAAAAUCCUUAAACCUGCUGGUUGUGUUUA